AAAAUUUUAUACCCGUAGGAGAAGAUAACACUGAUAAUAAGAGAGGAUGUGUUAUUAGAAGGAGAAGGAAUGGUGUGUUUAUAAACGAUCGAAACGAUCGUUUAUAUAGAAGAGAAAUUAACUGUGCAAAUAGUGCAACGGGCCUCACAUCCUUUAUAAUUUUCAACAUAUGCGGCUCAUAACAGUUACUCUAUAUUUGGAGUCAACUUAUUUUUCACUCUAUUAUUUCACUCUAACGAGGUUAGAAAUGCCAUUGGUAUAAAGAAGAAAAAGUCCCUAUCAAAC
rnacentral:lncRNA from 1 species